GAUGAACGCUGGCGGCGUGCUUAACACAUGCAAGUCGAACGGGAAUUACUUUAUUGAAACUUCGGUCGAUUUAAUUUAAUUCUAGUGGCGGACGGGUGAGUAACGCGUGGGUAACCUGCCUUGUACAGGGGGAUAACAGUCAGAAAUGACUGCUAAUACCGCAUAAGCGCACAGGACCGCAUGGUCCGGUGUGAAAAACUCCGGUGGUAUAAGAUGGACCCGCGUUGGAUUAGCUUGUUGGUGGGGUAACGGCCCACCAAGGCGACGAUCCAUAGCCGGCCUGAGAGGGUGAACGGCCACAUUGGGACUGAGACACGGCCCAGACUCCUACGGGAGGCAGCAGUGGGGAAUAUUGCACAAUGGGGGAAACCCUGAUGCAGCGACGCCGCGUGAAGGAAGAAGUAUCUCGGUAUGUAAACUUCUAUCAGCAGGGAAGAAAAUGACGGUACCUGACUAAGAAGCCCCGGC
rnacentral:rRNA from 1 species